rnacentral:rRNA from 1 species
ACUGCGAGUGAAGCGGGAAAAGCUCAAAUUUAAAAUCUGGUGGUCCUUGUGGCCGUCCGAGUUGUAAUCUAGAGAAGCGUUAUCCGCGCCGGACCGUGUACAAGUCUCCUGGAACGGAGCGUCAUAGAGGGUGAGAAUCCCGUCUUUGACACGGACUACCGGGGCUUUGUGAUGCGCUCUCAAAGAGUCGAGUUGUUUGGGAAUGCAGCUCUAAAUGGGUGGUAAAUUCCAUCUAAAGCUAAAUAUUGGCGAGAGACCGAUAGCGAACAAGUACCGUGAGGGAAAGAUGAAAAGAACUUUGGAAAGAGAGUUAAACAGUACGUGAAAUUGUUGAAAGGGAAACGCUUGAAGUCAGUCGCGUUGGCCGGGGAUCAACCUUGCUCUUUUGCUUGGCGUACUUUCCGGUCGACGGGUCAGCAUCAAUUUUGACCGGUGGAUAAAGGUCAGGGGAAUGUGGCAUCUUCGGAUGUGUUAUAGCCCUUGGUCGCAUGCAUCGAUUGGGAUUGAGGAACUCAGCACGCCGCAAGGCCGGGUUUUUAACCACGUACGUGCUUAGGAUGCUGGCAUAAUGGCUUUAAUCGAC